rnacentral:rRNA from 1 species
UACGUAGGGGGCUAGCGUUGUCCGGAAUCAUUGGGCGUAAAGCGUGUGUAGGCGGAUCGUUAAGUACCUUGUGAAAUCCCACGGCUCAACCGUGGAACUGCUGGGUAUACUGGCGGUCUUGAGCCACCUAGGGGCAACUGGAACAAGCGGUGGAGCGGUGAAAUGCGUAGAUAUCGCUUGGAACGCCAACGGUGAAAACAGGUUGCUGGGGGUGUGCUGACGCUGAGACACGAAAGCCAGGGGAGCGAACGGG